AAUUUAAAUAACUGAUGCGGCUGUGAAACAAACUGACAACUCCAUAAUAUGCUUUGUGUCACAUUUUAUAUCAAAAACCUCAACACGUAAAGGGCACCAUGUUGGUAAAUACUGCGGAAACUCCACAUGUUGUCUUUACAAUUUCACGCCUUGGAGACGCUGGUAUUCGUUUUGACGUUUGUUAUUCAUCCAUGGUACAUACGACUUAUCACUCCCCGGAGUUCGAGAAUUCACACCGAAUUUGGGUUCAGUGUGUCGACACCAUACAUAUGUAUCAACUAAUAUCCGAUGGCUGAAAUGAAAUGUUAUAUUCAUAAGUAACAGUGCGUGAAUCGCUCCUCUUCUGUCAGGCCCGAUUGUUACAUUUAUAAUUAAAUCCGCUGCUCCCUGGUCCAGA